rnacentral:rRNA from 1 species
AGAGUUUGAUCCGGGCUCAGGACGAACGCUGGCGGCGUGCUUAACACAUGCAAGUGGAGCGACGAACCAGGGCUUGCCCUGGGGCAGAGCCGCGAACGGGUGAGUAACACGUGGGUAACCCACCCCGAUGACCGGGACAACCCGAGGAAACUCGGGCUAAUACCGGAUGUUCUCUCUUCUCAUAAGGGAAGCGAGUAAAGAUAGCUUUUAGCCUUCGCAUCGGGACGGGCCCGCGGCCCAUUAGCUUGUUGGUGGGGUAACGGCCUACCAAGGCGACGAUGGGUAGCUGGUCUGAGAGGACGAUCAGCCACACUGGGACUGAGACACGGCCCAGACUCCUACGGGAGGCAGCAGUGGGGAAUCUUGCGCAAUGCGCGAAAGCGUGACGCAGCAACGCCGCGUGGGGGAAGAAGGCCUUCGAGUUGUAAACCCCUUUCAGUUGGGACGAAGCUUCCAGGGUUAAUAGCCCUGUGGAGUGACGGUACCUGCAGAAAAAGCGCCGGCUAACUACGUGCCAGCAGCCGCGGUAAUACGUAGGGCGCAAGCGUUAUCCGGAAUUAUUGGGCGUAAAGAGCUCGUAGGCGGUUUGUCGCGUCUGCUGUGAAAUCCCGAGGCUCAACCUCGGGCCUGCAGUGGGUACGGGCAGACUAGAGUGCGGUAGGGGAGAUUGGAAUUCCUGGUGUAGCGGUGGAAUGCGCAGAUAUCAGGAGGAACACCGAUGGCGAAGGCAGAUCUCUGGGCCGUAACUGACGCUGAGGAGCGAAAGGGUGGGGAGCAACCAGGCUUAGAUACCCUGGUAGUCCACCCGUAAACGUUGGGAACUAGUUGUGGGGUCCAUUCCACGGAUUCCGCGACGCAGCUAACGCAUUAAGUUCCCCGCCCUGGGGAGUACGGCCGCAAGGCUAAAACUCAAAGGAAUUGACGGGGACCCGCACAAGCGGCGGAGCAUGCGGAUUAAUUCGAUGCAACGCGUAGAACCUUACCAAGGCUUGACAUAUACGAGAACGGGCCAGAAAUGGUCAACUCUUUGGACACUCGUAAACAGGUGGUGCAUGGUUGUCGUCAGCUCGUGUCGUGAGAUGUUGGGUUAAGUCCCGCAACGAGCGCAACCCUCGUUCUAUGUUGCCAGCACGUAAUGGUGGGAACUCAUGGGAUACUGCCGGGGUCAACUCGGAGGAAGGUGGGGAUGACGUCAAAUCAUCAUGCCCCUUAUGUCUUGGGCUUCACGCAUGCUACAAUGGCCGGUACAAAGGGCUGCAAUACCGUGAGGUGGAGCGAAUCCCAAAAAGCCGGUCCCAGUUCGGAUUGAGGUCUGCAACUCGACCUCAUGAAGUCGGAGUCGCUAGUAAUCGCAGAUCAGCAACGCUGCGGUGAAUACGUUCCCGGGUCUUGUACACACCGCCCGUCA